UACGUAGGGGGCUAGCGUUGUCCGGAAUCAUUGGGCGUAAAGCGCGUGUAGGCGGUCCGGUAAGUCCGCUGUGAAAGUCGGGGGCUCAACCCUCGGAUGCCGGUGGAUACUGUCGGGCUUGAGUACGGAAGAGGCGAGUGGAAUUCCUGGUGUAGCGGUGAAAUGCGUAGAUAUCUGGAGGAACACCGGUGGCGAAGGCGGCAUCCUGGACCAACACUGACUCUGAGGAGCGAAAGCCAGGGGAGCAAACGGG
rnacentral:rRNA from 1 species